UGAAUGUGGGAGAGGCAAACAGGGAAGGGGAGAGUGGCCUCAGAGACAGAGGAUGAGGCUGUCACUGGCUCGGCCAGCAUUUAUUGCUGCGUUUACCCAGUGGGCAGUUAAGAAUCAACCACGUUGCUAUAGGUCUGGAGUCCCAUGCAGACCAGACCAGGGAUCUGCACUGGAACCCUUCUGUUUGCGGGACAAAUAUAUGUAAGUGACAUGGAUUAAAAUCUAAUUUGGUAAUGCUUUGGUAUUUUUUUCUGAAUUAUCAGCUUUGAUGGAGAUGUGUUGAAAAUGUUUGCAGUUACUGAUCUGCUGAACCAAAAUGACCCCUUUUAAACUGAUGGUUGGACUAGAAACCUUUUAGAAAACUUGAAAAUAUUCGGUAAGAGUACAUUUUGAAUUGUUGGAAGUUGUACAUUUGUGGAAGGAAGGGGAGCUGCCUGCAGCUGCAUAGUCACAGUGAAUAAUUUUCUUUUGGUGAUUCCAUCUGGUGCUAAGCAUUCUAAUUAUCUUUUCAUUAUCAGAAAAAUUGCUUUAAACAUAUUCAGCAGUUGUAUUUUUCAUGAAUUUACAAUAAGCGCAUGAUAUAUCUAUUUAUUUUUCCUUCAAUUGUCACGAUAGUAAUUUUUACGUAAGAGCCUAUAUACUUAGUACCAUCAUUAUUGUGAAUUACCAUUUCAUUCUCAGUCCAUUGCAUAGAAACAGUCAAAUUAAUUCCCAGCCCAAUUAUCGGAGUGAACACUGGUUAGUUUUCAUUUGAGUAAUCACAAUUAAUUAUAAUCCCACCCUUCCUUGGUGGGAACAUAAUGAAAGGAACCUGUGGAGCUCCAGUAGAGUGUCUCCCACGAGACCAGGAAGUGUGCGUUGAGUUCCCAUCUUCAACAGAGAUGCACCAAAACAGCUUCGAAUGGUGAUUAGAAAAUAUCUAAGCAGAGUUUGAAUUGCUUUUCAAUCCAAUUUUGGAUUUGCUCUGUCUGUUGUUCAUUCCAAUAAUCACAGAAUCU